GAUGAACGCUGACAGAAUGCUUAACACAUGCAAGUCUACUUGAACUUCGGUUUGGGUGGCGGACGGGUGAGUAACGCGUAAAGAACUUGCCUCACAGUUAGGGACAACAUUUGGAAACGAAUGCUAAUACCUGAUAUUAUGAUUUUAGGGCAUCCUAAGAUUAUGAAAGCUAUAUGCACUGUGAGAGAGCUUUGCGUCCCAUUAGCUAGUUGGCGAGGUAACGGCUCACCAAGGCGAUGAUGGGUAGCCGGCCUGCGAGGGUGACCGGCCACAAGGGGACUGAGACACGGCCCUUACUCCUACGGGAGGCAACCGUGGGGACUAUUGGACAAUGGACCAAAAGUCUGAUCCAGCAAUUCUGUGUGCACGAUGACGUUUUUCGGAAUGUAAAGUGCUUUCAGUUGGGAAGAAAAAAAUGACGGUACCAACAGAAGAAGUGACGGCUAAAUACGUG
rnacentral:rRNA from 1 species